rnacentral:rRNA from 1 species
GUAGGGGGCGAGCGUUGUCCGGAUUUAUUGGGCGUAAAGCGCGCGUAGGCGGCUGUUCAAGUCGGUAGUGAAAACUCAACGCUCAACGUUGGGCUUGCUGUCGAGACUGGGCGGCUGGAGUCUGGUAGGGGGGUCUGGAAUUCCUGGUGUAGCGGUGGAAUGCGCAGAUAUCAGGAGGAACACCGGUGGCGAAGGCGGGACCCUGGGCCAGUACUGACGCUGAUGCGCGAAAGCGUGGGGAGCAAACAGGAUUAGAUACCCUGGUAGUCCACGCUGUAAACGAUGGGUGCUAGGUGUGGGGGGUUGUUGACUCCUUCCGUGCCGCAGCUAACGCAGUAAGCACCCCGCCUGGGGAGUACGGCCGCAAGGCUAAA